UGCUGCUGCUGCUGCUGUUACUGCUGCUGCUGCUGCUGCUGCUACUGUUACUAGAUGGAUGGAACAGAAUUGGAUAAUUAUUCCAAAUUGCUUUGAUUAUCCUCGAAUAAGGGGAAAAAAGAAGACAAAAAAAUAUCAAUGAGAUGAGAAACUUGAUUCAAUUUUUCUAGGAAUUUUACGUAGAUACUAUUGUGAGAUAUGUUCAAUGAGAUCUUUCUAUCGAUAAUUAAUCAUAAUAAAUAUAUUUAUAAAAGUAACAAAUUGGAAUGGAAGACGUACAAUGAAUGAUAGAAAAUGAAACUCUAAUAUUCUCGGUCUCGUGUUUCUUUAACAAAUCAAUACGAAUAUUUGUUAUAUACUAAACAUGAAUUAAAUAAUAAUUUAUUUCUCAUUUUAGCUAGUACUCUUACUCUUCCCCCUCCCCCCCCCAAAAAAAGAAAAAUGAAUUUGUUAAUACAAAUUUGAAACUAAACAUUAACAAACGAGUGUCUUACGAAAGAUACGAACGAACAUGGAUUCCCAGGAACGUAAUUAACCUCGUACAAAAAAGGGGGUUUCGUAUAAUUAAAAAAGGAAGAUUCCUGUAAGGAUGAAAAGGAAUAACAUUUCUAAAGUAUAAUACAAUAAUCGAUUGGAAGAAGUCGUUACGCGAGUAGGAAUGAGAUAAUCCGCGAUGACAUAAAUGAGAAUUCGUAAACGAAACGUCACGCUCUCCUCCAUCUCUCUCCCUCUAUCUUUCUCACCCUCAUAUUCUGUCUAUCUCGGUCUCUCUCAUUCCUUCUCCGGCGCUAUUUAACCUCUCACACAGAGAGAGAACCGUCUAUUGAUUUUUCCAGCUCCUAUUGUUUUUGGCACCAGUCGCUUCGUUCGCAACUAUGAACAUUGAACGUGGCCAAAUUUAGGGUGGGGGAGUAGUACGUACGAAGAAAUAAGAAA
rnacentral:lncRNA from 1 species